GGCCAAGAUACACCGGCAACACCACCUGUUCCUCCAAUAGCAAAAUCAUCAGGACUUCCCUUGAAAUCUCUCAUUACUUUUCCAGUUCUUACAUCAAAAAUAUUGAUCACAAUCCUAUUUGCAUCACGGGGAUUGCUGGGCUCAUGACUGCUGUAAGUCACCAGAUAUUUCUCACCAGGAGAAAAAUCAAUUAACUUAACCUGUUGAUGGGCAAAGCGCAUCAGACGGUUAAAGGUACCUGCUCCACCCCAAACUGCAGCACCCUGUCGGUGAAUUGUCGCUAGGUAAGUCCCCAAUGAGGACCACUGCACAAAACUCUCAGUCCAGAAUGUGCGCUUGUAGACAGGCUCAGGCUUCAAAUGCCUAGCAUCGUUCCAGAAGACCUCAGUGUCAGAACCAGAACGAAUAACAAACUGAUCCCGUGCUUUUUCAUCAGUAAGCCACUUUUGAAGAUUUUCCCCAGGAGUAUAUGGGCUAAUUUCAGGAGGGGCCCACUCAUC
rnacentral:misc_RNA from 1 species